AUUUAACAAAUUUAAUUAUAAACUACGAGAAAAUAGUCCGAAUCUAACGAAGUACAACUUGUGGAUAAUGGCUGUUGACAUGAUGAUGCAAGCUCGCCAGGCCCAGUGAUUAAAACCAAUGUUAAGCUUGAUUUAGCCACUGCAGUAUAAGGAGAGAAGCAGACCAGAAACCUUUGACUAAAGCAAAGAUGAUAUGCAUAACAAAAGCAAAUAAAGUGUCAGAUUGAAAUCCAUCUUAUGUUGGACUAAAGAAUCAGGACAUUCUUCUGGAUCACAGGUAGCACAAAGUAUUGACAAAACCAAAGAUUACCUGGUAGUCUGCAAAUGGAGUGAUCAUUGGAUGAGCCACAACAAGAUUUUCCUCGGAA